rnacentral:lncRNA from 1 species
UUUUAAUUUUAUAAUAUUUUAUUUGAUCAUUUCUGUAAACCUUAAAAUGUCUUAGACUUAUGAAUGUUGGAAAAUUCCCCAUUGGGAAAUUUCAUACUUGAAAAAAUUUCCUACUGAUAGUAAGAACUCUAUUGGAAUAUGAAACUCCUUGGCAUGGAAGGAUCCUUCUCCCCCCUACUUAAGACUACUUUAGGACAGAAACCUUUUGCUAAACAAUGGAAAGGGCUUUGACCUAUGCUUAAGCAUAGAACAGGAAGUUCUUUGAGUCAUGAUUGAUUUUAGAAUUGAUACAAUAGAGAUACUUGGAAUGACAGAACCAGGUCUUGGAAACUACAAUCUCCACCCUAUUCAGAGUAACAGGAUUUAGGAAGGGCUGCAGCAAAGAUCAAGAUUUAAUUAUUUGAGAAUAUGACCUUCAACAGACAUGUGCAAAGGAGACAGACCUCUGGGUGGUCCUGGGUUAAGCUAGAGCCACCAUUGGCACAGGGGAGACAUCAACAGUGAUUGGUAGAUGUGAGAACUGAGGGGAGGGAACUGAGAUUGUUUGCUGAAAGAUAGCGGGGUCUGAGGACUGAAGGAUUUUUUUUUGCUCUGAAGGAGGUCUGAGAGGAGAGAGGUCCUGGAGGGAGAGCUCCUGGAGAGGUCUUGAAGGAGGCUGUGGAAGGAGAACUCAGGAGGAGAAUUCUCUGAAAACAUUUCUUGAAAGGAGGCUCUCUUGAAGGUGGAGCCUGAGGUUGGCAUGAGAAGCCUUACCUACAGAGAUCUUGGGUUGUUCCCCCCACCUUGCAACUUAAAUGACAUCCAAAAACUUGACAGAAGCAGCAAUUCAGAUUGGCUAAAGGAUGAACUUUUAUGUAACAUAAGAUAUGUAAAAGAAAAUGGAGAAAUGGAAAAAGGCCGAAUUUAAGAGCAGCUGUUCCUUGUAAUUACAACCCAGAGGAAGCAGAAAGUCUCUGAUCCUAGAGCCUGCUGUUGAGAGGAGACACAGGAGAGAUUUGCAAACCAACAGGUAGGACUUCUUUCUAAGUCUGGAUCAGGGUUGACAUUCAGAUGUCAAUAACUCUUUUUGACAGUUGCCUUCUGUGGGCAUCUUUACCUCUUACAAUGCCAGCUGUGUUUGUAUUUGCUUUUUAGAUCUUGGACAGAUAUCAGCUGAAACAUGAACAAUUUGCAAAAAUAAGAGGAAACAAAAUCUCUUGUGGGGGCGUCCCUUUAAAACAAUCUAACUGUUUUUUGGUGACCAGU